AGAGUUUGAUUCUGGCUCAGAACGAACGCUGGCAGCGUGGAUUAGGCAUGCAAGUCGAACGAGAAACCGCCGUUUCAAUCUUCGGAAAGAGAGGGUGGUGGAAAGUGGCGAAAGGGUGAGUAACGCGUGGGUAACCUGCCUCCGAGUUUGGGACAACUCCCCGAAAGGGGGGCUAAUACCGGAUACGGUGCUCCGUCGCAUGGCGGAGACAUUAAAGAUGGGGAUUCUUCGGAACCUGUCGCUUGAAGAUGGACCCGCGUACCAUCAGCUUGUUGGUGGGGUAACGGCCUACCAAGGCUUACGGUUAGCUGGUCUGAGAGGAUGGUCAGCCGCACUGGGACUGAGACACUGCCCAGACUCCUACGGGAGGCUGCAGUCGAGGAUCAUUCGCAAUGCGCGAAAGCGUGACGAUGCGACGCUGCGUGGAGGAUGAAGGCCUUCGGGUUGUAAACUCUCAUGAGGGAAAAGACAGCGGGCCGCUAAUACCGGUUCGCCUCGAUGGUACCUCAAGAGGAAGCCACGGCUAACUCUGUGCCAGCAGCCGCGGUAAUACAGAGGUGGCGAGCGUUGUUCGGAUUUACUGGGCGUAAAGCGUGCGUAGGUGGUUUUGUAUGUCGGGUGUGAAAUCCCACGGCUUAACCGUGGAACUGCAUUCGAAACUGCAGGACUUGAGUGCAGGAGGGGAGAGCGGAAUUCUUGGUGUAGCGGUGAAAUGCGUUGAUAUCAAGAAGAACACCGGUGGCGAAGGCGGCUCUCUGGAAUGUUACUGACACUGAGGCACGAAAGCUGGGGGAGCAAACAGGAUUAGAUACCCUGGUAGUCCCAGCUGUAAACGGUGCACACUUGGUGUGGGGGGUAUUGACCCCCCCCGUGCCGGAGCUAACGCGUUAAGUGUGCCGCCUGGGGAGUACGGCCGCAAGGCUAAAACUCAAAGAAAUUGACGGGGGCCCGCACAAGCGGAGGAGCAUGUGGCUUAAUUCGAUGCAACGCGAAGAACCUUACCUGGGCUUGACAUGGUGACCCUUCGGGGGUGGGAAUGAAAGCUCCCUUUACGCACACAGGUGCUGCAUGGCUGUCGUCAGUUCGUGCCGUGAGGUGUUGGGUUAAGUCCCGCAACGAACGCAACCCUUGUGUUUAGUUGCCACCGCAGGUGAUGAGCCUGCGAGCACUCUAGACAGACUGCCCGUACAAGCGGGAGGAAGGUGGGGAUGACGUCAAGUCAGUAUGGCCCUUACGCCCAGGGCUGCACACGUGCUACAAUGGUCGGUACAAUGGGAAGCAAGACCGCGAGGUGGAGCAAAUCCUGAAAACCGGCGUAAGUUCGGAUUGGAGUCUGAAACUCGACUCCAUGUAGUCGGAUUCGCUAGUAACGGCGUAUCAGCUACGACGCCGUGAAUACGUUCCCGGGCCUUGUACACACCGCCCGUCACAUCAUGAAAGCCGUCUGCACCCGAAGUCGCUGAGCCAACCCGCAAGGGAGGCAGGUGCCGAAGGUGUGGGUGGUGAUUGGGAUGAAGUCGUAACAAGGUA
rnacentral:rRNA from 1 species